CCAAGGUUAGCUCAGUUGGUUAGAGCGUGGUGCUAAUAACGCCAAGGUCACAGGUUCAAUCCCUGCUCACUGCA
rnacentral:tRNA from 1 species